rnacentral:lncRNA from 1 species
UUUAGACUCCCAUACCACCUUAAGUAUUUUCUAGACUGAUUUAACUCAUUUCUGUACAAUAGUUAGUACAAUCAGGGAGAAUCCAUGAAAUGUGAAAAGGGAGUGUAAAUCCCAAAAAGGCAAUUCAUACUGGCGAGAGGAGCUAGGUGAAGGACUACUUUAUCCUUUAGAUACAUAUAACUGUGAGAACCAUACUAUUUUCUGUCUAUUUCGAUGAAAGGAGGGGGUGAACAUCUUGCACACGCCCUAUCAUAGAUCGCCACUGGCAAUGACAAGACGCGAUUCUUUUAUGAUUAAGUGGUAAAGUUGUUAAAAAAAACCUUAAAACAUCAAUUCUUAAAUUUCUACACAAAUAUAUUUGAACAAAAAUUUGAAAAAAUAAAUAAAAAAA